AUUGAACGCUGGCGGCAUGCUUUACACAUGCAAGUCGAACGGUAACAGGGAAAAGCUUGCUUUUCUGCUGACGAGUGGCGAACGGGUGAGUAAUACAUCGGAACGUGCCCUGUAGUGGGGGAUAACUACUCGAAAGAGUGGCUAAUACCGCAUACAACCUGAGGGUAAAAGUGGGGGACCGCAAGGCCUCACGCUAUAGGAGCGGCCGAUGGAAGAUUAGGUAGUUGGUGAGGUAAAGGCUCACCAAGGCGACGAUCGAUAGCUGGUCUGAGAGGAUGAUCAGCCACACUGGAACUGAGACACGGUCCAGACUCCUACGGGAGGCAGCAGUGGGGAAUUUUGGACAAUGGGGGCAACCCUGAUCCAGCCAUUCCGCGUGAGUGAAGAAGGCCUUCGGGUUGUAAAGCUCUUUCGGCAGGAACGAAACGGUGGUCGCUAAUACCGGCCACUAAUGACGGUACCUGAAGAAGAAGCACCGGCUAACUACGUGCCAGCAGCCGCGGUAAUACGUAGGGUGCGAGCGUUAAUCGGAAUUACUGGGCGUAAAGCGUGCGCAGGCG
rnacentral:rRNA from 1 species